UACCUGGUAGAGUCCAGGUUACCCGCCGUUU
rnacentral:sRNA from 1 species